CCUUUCUCCAGCGCCGGACUCCCUUGGCGCUGGGGAUCCCUCCGCCUCUCAGCUCCGAAUGCGCAUUACUCAAUGCUUUCCUAUGGACGUUCAGUGUCUUAGAAUCGCGGAAGCUCCUCUAGCGGCUGUCAGUGAGACAGCCACUAGAGGCUGGAUUAACCCUCAGUGAAACAUAGCAGUUUCUCUGAAACUGCUAUGUUUUCAGCUGCAGGGUUAAAACUAGAGGGACCUGAAACCCAGACCACUUCAUUGAGCUGAUGUGAUCUGUGUGUCUGUAGUGGUCCUUUAAGUGUGUGUGCAUCUGCAUGCACUAGCGUACAUACCGC